GAAACCGGGCGAUCUAUCCAUGAGCAGGUUGAAGGUUAGGUAACACUGACUGGAGGACCGAACCCACUCCCGUUGAAAAGGUAGGGGAUGACUUGUGGAUCGGAGUGAAAGGCUAAUCAAGCUCGGAGAUAGCUGGUUCUCCUCGAAAGCUAUUUAGGUAGCGCCUCAUGUAUCACUCUGGGGGGUAGAGCACUGUUUCGGCUAGGGGGUCAUCCCGACUUACCAAACCGAUGCAAACUCCGAAUACCCAGAAGUGCCGAGCAUGGGAGACACACGGCGGGUGCUAACGUCCGUCGUGAAAAGGGAAACAACCCAGACCGCCAGCUAAGGUCCCAAAGUUGUGGUUAAGUGGUAAACGAUGUGGGAAGGCUUAGACAGCUAGGAGGUUGGCUUAGAAGCAGCCAUCCUUUAAAGAAAGCGUAAUAGCUCACUAGUCGAGUCGGCCUGCGCGGAAGAUGUAACGGGGCUCAAACCACACACCGAAGCUGCGGGUGUCACGUAAGUGACGCGGUAGAGGAGCGUUCUGUAAGCCUGUGAAGGUGAGUUGAGAAGCUUGCUGGAGGUAUCAGAAGUGCGAAUGCUGACAUGAGUAACGACAAUGGGUGUGAAAAACACCCACGCCGAAAGACCAAGGGUUCCUGCGCAACGUUAAUCGACGCAGGGUUAGUCGGUUCCUAAGGCGAGGCUGAAAAGCGUAGUCGAUGGGAAACAGGUUAAUAUUCCUGUACUUCUGGUUACUGCGAUGGAGGGACGGAGAAGGCUAGGCCAGCUUGGCGUUGGUUGUCCAAGUUUAAGGUGGUAGGCUGAAAUCUUAGGUAAAUCCGGGGUUUCAAGGCCGAGAGCUGAUGACGAGUCGUCUUUUAGAUGACGAAGUGGUUGAUGCCAUGCUUCCAAGAAAAGCUUCUAAGCUUCAGGUAACCAGGAACCGUACCCCAAACCGACACAGGUGGUCGGGUAGAGAAUACCAAGGCGCUUGAGAGAACUCGGGUGAAGGAACUAGGCAAAAUGGCACCGUAACUUCGGGAGAAGGUGCGCCGGCUAGGGUGAAGGAUUUACUCCGUAAGCUCUGGCUGGUCGAAGAUACCAGGCCGCUGCGACUGUUUAUUAAAAACACAGCACUCUGCAAACACGAAAGUGGACGUAUAGGGUGUGACGCCUGCCCGGUGCCGGAAGGUUAAUUGAUGGGGUUAGCGCAAGCGAAGCUCUUGAUCGAAGCCCCGGUAAACGGCGGCCGUAACUAUAACGGUCCUAAGG
rnacentral:rRNA from 1 species